GAUUAGGAGUAUAUACUUUCAGCGAGAUCGGCGAGAGAAAUUGGCUGCCAGCAACUAUUCUACUCGCGAAAUACUCGCUGCUUCUGUCAACCGCUGACACAAGUCGACUAUUCGACAUUUUCACCACUGUGCCACCACCAUUCUGUUUAUAACUUGAUCGCCAUCGGUUUAGAUAGCACUUUUGUGACUUGGAAUUUCGUCCGCACGACGUGGUUUUCUUGGUUAUUUUUGGAUUGGUUAAUUCGAUUGGUUCGACCUGCAAGUCGUCCUUGUAGGAAUAUCGUGAGUGACAAUCAGGAGAUCUGAAGUGUCAGAAAUUGUGUAAAUCGGCGAGUCCCCAAAUUAAUGUGAAACUUCCCCUGACUCCGGACCAGCAGACGUAUUUGUACUUGACCGUCUAGUGGAUUCGAAUUACGGUUUGCUUCGCGUGAAAAAUCAUCUGAUCUUGACCGUCGAAAAUGUCAGGGCAGAGGCAAGUUAGGCAGAAAGCGAACGACAAUUUGAAUGCGAGUGGCGACAACUUGGAUUCAACUUGUGUUGUCUGCUUCAAAAAUGUGGAAAUUUAUUCCAUCGGUGAAUGUGAUCAUCCCGUUUGCUACGAGUGUUCAACGCGAAUGCGGGUCCUGUGCCAGCAAAAUGAGUGCCCUAUUUGUAGGCAAGGGCUUUCCAAGGUAAUAUUUACUAGUGAGAAAAAAAGCUAUCGCGAACUGGAAGCUACCAAUCGUUCCGAAUAUUACAACAAGAAAUAUAAAAUAUGCUUCGCAAGUAUCCAAAUACAAAAGGCUUUCUAUGAAUUGCUGGACCAUCCUUGCCCAAAAUGUGAAGACCGAUCAUUUAGCAGUUUCGAUACACUAAAGGACCAUGUUCGAAAAGAGCACGAGCUGUUUUAUUGUGAUAUUUGCACUGAGAAUCUGAAAAUAUUCUCAUUCGAAAGAAAAUGUUACAACAGGCAAGAAUUGGGGUUGCACCGAAGAAAAGGCGAUCCAGAUAAUACUUCGCACAGAGGUCAUCCGUUAUGUGAGUAUUGUGACUGUCGGUAUCUUGACAGGGACGAACUAUUCAGGCAUUUACGACGUGAACACUACUUUUGCCAUUUCUGCGAUGCUGAUGGUGCCAAUCAUUUUUAUAGUAAUGUGGAAGCGUUACGUGGGCAUUUUCGAGAUGAACAUUUUCUUUGUGAAGAAGGAGAUUGCGCCCGUGAACAGUUUACUGCAGUAUUUCGCACAGAGAUUGACUUUAAGGCGCAUAUCGCGAAUGUGCACGGUAAAUCAAUGGGAAAAUUGCAAGCGAAGCAAGCGAGAACUUUGCAACUAGAAAUCACGCUAGGGCCACGUGGUCGGGGACAACAGGAACAUACAUCGGCUCAUUUACGAUCACGGGGCAACAAUGAUUACGCCGAUGAGCCUCAAUAUACACAGUCUGCACCAGUUCAAAAUGCUCGAGUGAUCGACGCUCGAAAUGAACAGGAGUUUCCAUCAUUAGGCGGUGCUGGAGCAUCUUCUGGGGUAACAUUGGUUCCUGGUGCUACAAUGUCUAUAAGAGCAAAGGCAUUCGGGCCCGCAGGCUUAGCAAGAACUAAAGAGAAUUUUCCUGCAUUAGGAAAUAGCGGAAAUUCUAAGUCGGAUACAGGUCCAUCUUUACAAAAUAAUUCAAAGCUCGGAAAACCUGUUAGUGCCAUUCUCAAAAAUCAAAACAUGGCACACAAACCAAAUGUCCAUGUUAUCCAUGUUUCCAACAGACCAAAUAUGUCUACAAAACAGCCACCGAAUCAAAAAGAUUUUCCAGCACUGCCGGGAAGUUCACGAAGUCAAAACAACGUAAAUCAUACGUUACCUCAAUCUAGUUCCGCUUUAGGCCUAAAUCAAAUAGCAAACAAACAAAGAACUCAGGCUAGUGAGCAGUCAAAGUCGCAGGUGAAAUUUUCACAGAAAGAAAACAAACAUGCGAAACGAAUGGAGGAAGAUUUCAUUCCAUCAAAUUCUGCAAUAAAUUUGAGUGCAGUUUCAGCAAAACAUCGAUCGCUCGUAGACGACUAUGUAUCGGUAGUUCAGCCAAACUCUAAAAUAGCUUUAGUACAAAAGGAAGAAGCGAAGCAAACUAAAAAAGACAACGUUGAUGCUCCCGUUAGAUUGGAUACUAGAGAUUUUCCAGCAUUAGGAGGAUCUACCCCUUUAUCUGAAUCGUUAUGGGUGAAAUCUCAAAAACAGCAAGAUAGAGACAAUCGUAAGUCAAAGGUUGCACCGCCUCCACUUCUCCCUUCAAAUAGUGAAAGUUUCAAUCCAAGAAAAAAUGAAAAAAAGGAUAAAAAGAAGACUUUGGAAGCAGAGAAUCAAGGUGGUAGCCAAAAGGAGAAAAAGCAAAACAAGACGGCGGAAAGGAAACAAAAUGACAUGAAGAAAUCAGAAAAUACAUCGAAUAAAGCGAACGACACAAAGCAAAAUACGAAACAAGCAAAAGAAAAGAAAUCGCCCGACAAUAACAAUGAAAUUAAAACGAUGAACAAAAAUAAAACGAAGGACAGGGAGAGCAACGUCAUUGACUUGGGUAACCACAACGACCUCGGGAGCAUUGGAUAUUCUUCGUCAUCUUCCUCAAUCAUGUCAGCCCCUCCUGGCUUCGAUUCUAAAGUAAACGAAACGAAACAAUCUGCGCCUCCUGGUUUUAAGAGAAAAUUUUAGCAUAGUACCAAAUCAUCAGUAUUUACCACCGCCCGACUCAAUUAGACGUAAUCAGGAAUUAGUCCAUCAUUUCCAAAGUGCCCUGAAGUCGCCAGAAGCUGUUGCCGAAUUUCGAUUUAUUUCGCAAAAAUUUCGUGAAGGGCUCUAUAAACCAUCUGCCUUCUUUGAACAUUGUCAAGCUGCCUUAAGAGAUA
rnacentral:misc_RNA from 1 species